UCAGGCCUGGAUGAAAUUGAGAAGGCAGUUUUUUUAAGGCGAAGGUGGAAGCUCUUGGCAGUGGUGGAUGCAGAGUGGUCGGGACAAGAAUGCUGAGCAGACCCUUAGUCCAACACCUUGGGGCCUGUGUUAACUUAGUGAGUGGAAGGAGAAGGAGGAGCCAAAGACAGAGACAGAACAUCCACUCCCUGGAGGCAGGCCCCAGCCCUGGACUGUUCACUUUUGAAUCCCCAGAGCCUAGCACCGCACCUGCCACUUUGAAGUGUGUCCUGUGACGGAGAAACCUUAGCUAUACCUCAUCAUUUUCCUUGGAGAGCCUUGGUUUUCUUCUGAUCUUCGGGCUGCUCAUCUUGGACACUUGGUCCCGUGCAGAUCCCCACACCAGGUUGUGCCCCGCACCACUUGGCACCUGGCCUGAAACCCAGGGCUUCCUGAAUACCCUGAACACCGAACCCAAGAGCUCCAGGGGAGCCGCCACCGCAGAGCCAGCAAGACCUCCUCCAGGCCACCCACCCCCAGCCGAGAAGCAGGCUCAGCCUCAGGGGGUGAGCACCUGGCGCCAGCAAAACCCGGGCCCUUGGAAUCAUAGCAGCACCACCACCGCGGUGGGCCAGAGGCAGGGGAGAAUACCCAAGGCACCCAAUUCAACGUCCUUCCUUAAAUUUCCAUUCUGUUUCACUCAACCGGGGUACAUAUUGUUAAAGCAAAAGAGGAUGAGAAGGAAACAUGGGUACAGCUAAAAUUAUGCACGCCUUUGUUUUAAGUAAAUGCCUUCCUCCGGAA